rnacentral:rRNA from 1 species
GAUUGUAGUCUGCAACCCGACUACAUGAAGCUGGAAUCGCUAGUAAUCGCGAAUCAGCAUGUCGCGGUGAAUACGUUCCCGGGUCUUGUACACACCGCCCGUCCACACCAUGGGAGUUGGUAACGCCCGAAGCCAGUGACCCAACCGCAAGGAGGGAGCAGCCGAAGGCAGGUCGGAUGACUGGGGUGAAGUCGUAACAAGGUAGC